CGCCUCUCUCCCAUGGGCUGUGGGGGGGUCCCUGUUCUCCUCAGCCAAGGCUGGAGGCCAAGAGCAGCCCUCGAGGAUCGUCGUCAGGACUGCCAUGAGUGGAGCAGCCUUGUUUUCCUGCCUCAGACAUGU
ensembl:scaRNA